rnacentral:rRNA from 1 species
GUGGGGAAUUUUGGACAAUGGGCGCAAGCCUGAUCCAGCAAUGCCGCGUGCAGGAAGAAGGCCUUCGGGUUGUAAACUGCUUUUGUACGGAACGAAACGGUCCGGGUUAAUACCCUGGGCUAAUGACGGUACCGUAAGAAUAAGCACCGGCUAACUACGUGCCAGCAGCCGCGGUAAUACGUAGGGUGCAAGCGUUAAUCGGAAUUACUGGGCGUAAAGCGUGCGCAGGCGGUGCUGUAAGACAGGCGUGAAAUCCCCGGGCUUAACCUGGGAAUUGCGCUUGCGACUGCAGUGCUGGAGUGCGGCAGAGGGGGAUGGAAUUCCGCGUGUAGCAGUGAAAUGCGUAGAUAUGCGGAGGAACACCGAUGGCGAAGGCAAUCCCCUGGGCCUGCACUGACGCUCAUGCACGAAAGCGUGGGGAGCAAACAGGAUUAGAAACCCGAGUAGUCC